GUCCAGGCCUGGCCUCAGGCGCCUGUAGUCCCAGCUGCCUGGGAGACUGAGGUAGGAGGAUCAUCUGAGCCCAGGAGUUCUGGGCUAUAGUGGACUAUGCCAAUCAGGUGUCCACACCAAGUUUAGUAUUGAUGUGGUGACCUCCUGGGAGCAGGGGACCCGCAGGUUGCCUAAGGAGGGGCGAACCAGCCCAAGUUGGAAAUAACAGGUCAGAACUCCCGUGCUGAUCAGUAUUGGGAUGGUGCCUGUGGGUAGCCACUGCACUCCAGCCUGGGCAACAUAGCAAGACCCUGUCA
rnacentral:SRP_RNA from 1 species